rnacentral:lncRNA from 1 species
CAAGACUGAGAAAGGAUGAAAUCUCAGCUCUCCCUCUCUCUGGUCCCCCUUGUCUCCUGAGAGGAAAGGAAUGAUGCUUGAGACACUGGCAGCAGCAGAGGAUCAUGACUGUAGAAAUGUGUCUAUGAGUACAUGUGUGCUCCUCAAAUAGACUUGUGUGCUUAGGGAGAUACUUACUUUGCAUCCUGAAUACUAAAAUGAUGGUGCAGCUGUAUUUGUUGAACACUAGAGGAUUUCAGUUUAAGGAGCAUUUUUCUGUCCGAAAGAACCACAAAUCCUAACAGGAGUCACCA